rnacentral:rRNA from 1 species
AGAAUGCAUAGGAAUCUACCUAGUAGUAUGGGAUAGCCCUAGAAAUGGUGGGUAAUACUGUAUAAUCCCUGCGGGGGAAAGAUUUAUCGCUAUUAGAUGAGCCUAUGUUAGAUUAGCUAGUUGGUAGGGUAAAGGCCUACCAAGGCGAUGAUCUAUAGCUGGUCUGAGAGGAUGAUCAGCCACACUGGAACUGAGAUACGGUCCAGACUCCUACGGGAGGCAGCAGUGGGGAAUAUUGGACAAUGGGCGCAAGCCUGAUCCAGCUAUGCCGCGUGAGUGAGGAAGGCCUUAGGGUUGUAAAACUCUUUCAGUAGGGAAGAUAAUGACGGUACCUACAGAAGAAGUCCCGGCAAACUCCGUGCCAGCAGCCGCGGUAAUACGGAGGGGGCAAGCGUUGUUCGGAAUUAUUGGGCGUAAAGGGCAUGUAGGCGGUUCGGUAAGUUAAAGGUGAAAUGCCAGGGCUUAACCCUGGAGCUGCUUUUAAUACUGCCA